CACACAGCCUUAAAUGCUCAAAACACACCCAUAUAGACACAAAAACACUCGUGAACGCACUCAAACACACACAGAAUCCAGCUAAAUACACACACACACACACACACACACAAUGAAGUGAAGUGUUACCAUAUUCCCAGGCAGUUUUUAGCAGCACAAGCGGCAAGACAAGAGUGAACCAGCAGUGCAAGGCAAGCCACCAUGACCUGCAGCCUUCACCACACCCCUCCUUCACUUACUCAAGGCUCAGACGUCAAGACGGAAGCAACAGAAGGAAG